AUUUUAAGUUUUAGAUUACAAGUUCCUCUCAAAAUUUUCAUAUUCAAAUUUGUUAAACAUCUUUUUUUUAAUUUCUGUUUUUCAGAGAAUAGUGGAAAUACGAUCCUCAGCUGUACGAUUUUGCAGCCAUGCUAUGCACCUGGAAAAACUGCCCUUCACACUAGAGUAUCUGUAACGUGCACCUUGAAAGAUACCGCAAGAGUAAAAGGGAUGGGAUCCUUCCUCUUCCUUCACUGUCCUCUUAAUCACAAGGGAUCAGUGUGUCCCAUGGGAUCAAAGGAAGGUGAAACUUUUGUGAUCACGAGGUGAGAACAGAAAUGAAACUCACGGAGGAGGUUAUGGGAUGUGCACUGGGGAGAACAAACUGACAGGCAUCCUACGGAUAAACAUGAGCUUCUUCAGCUGAUGUGAUGGAAAAGACAAAGCUCACCUGGUCUUUUAAAUCAGGCAAACUAUUAAAAAGAUUCUAG
rnacentral:lncRNA from 1 species